UGACAUAUAUAAAAUGGUCCAACAGAUCCUGUUGCUCUGGACGGCGACCAGUCAAGAAUAUUAGAAGCACUUUUCCGGGGAUCUCUUGUUUUACUGUG